GUAUGCUUCACUUUUCUAUUUCCUAGCCAAUAAAUCUCAUGUUUCUUCUGGAAAGUACAGUGAAGGCUAUCUAUGUUACUUUCAGUGUUGUGAGUGCUGAAGCAGCCAGUGCAGUGACACAUGUGUAUGUAUGUGUGUGUUUAUCUCUGACAAAAGAUACAGCAGAAAUCCAAGUAAGAACAGUAGGAUCCAUCAUUUUACUGUAUAGUCACCAAGUCCUUCUCCUAUUAGUUGUGAUGAAAGUUGUGUUUGCUUAUAAAUUUUAGUUCCAAGAGCUCUGGGAGGUCACAACUGAAUCAAUUCCUCUCUUCUACAAAGAGCUCAUUAAUUUCCCUUGCUACUAGUCCUGUUGGAGACCAAGGCAUAAUGGGGUUAACUCCAUGUUUAUAACUGUGGAUGGUGUAUUCAGGGAUGUAGAUGAGAUCUGAUGCUGAUCUGGAGCAGUGGUGCUGGGGAAAGUGGCAGAGCCCUCUUCCUCCUGGAUGCACCAGUAACACUGGUAUAGAUUUUAUUGGGUCUUGGCAUUGCUGGGACUCUAUUUAUCUUCAGAAAUUUGCUUCAAACGGAGAAAUUUGCUGAGAUAUGUUAAUAGAAAACAAGCAGAAAUGAAGAGCAAGGUCCCUUGCUCUUAAGCAAACAUCUUGCCUCUCCAUUGUGGGGCCUUGCUGGCAAGACAUGCUGUGUUUCAAAGGGAUGAAAUGAUUGUGUUAACCUGAACGUUUCUUCAGUGACCUCACUGUGGCUGUUGCCAUGCUUACCUGCAAAUACAAAAACAAACAGAUGGACUGGUUCUCAGCCAAGCACUCAGGAAAGAUCUGUGCUUGCCCAGGAAUUUGCCUCGCCUCUCAGUAGUACAGAAGACACUUGAAUCAUACACAGAUCCUGCCAGUCGUGUGCCAAAUGGACUCCCGUUUUCCAAAGGACUUAACAGCUGAAAUGAAAUUGGGAAGGAAAUUUAGGCUCUAAAGCCUGUGAUGUUUUGCUUCUCCUACUGUACAGUGAAUGCCACUAGAAUUUGGGAUGCCUUUGUCCAGGUUUCUCAGCUCAUACUGAUGUCUUGUGGAAUGGAGGGCACCCACACUUCAUUCAGUCUUCAGGAAACUCCUGCAUCUACAGAUAAAGGUAUAUAUGUGUGCUGGGAUAUUAUACAACAGCUGUUUUUGAAGGGACAGAUCUACCCAAUACAUUUCUGUGGAAACCAAGGAUGCAUUGGUGUAUGUGGACUAUGGCCAGGAAAGAAACAGGAUCCAGUUUGCCUUAUUACAUCUCAUGGAUUGAAGCCUAAGGCUCUGUAAGUGAGUUGCCCAAAACUGAAGGACCCUUACAAGCUUUGACAACCAACAACCUGCAUUAACAAAUGAUGUGGAUAUUUCAUUUGAAGUGGGAAGAAUAAAGAACAUUGCUUUAAGUCA
rnacentral:lncRNA from 1 species